GACAGAGGGUGCAAACGUUGUUCGGAAUUACUGGGCAUAAAGCGCACGUAGGUGGUCCACUAAGUCGAGUGUGAAAUCCCCCGGCUCAACCGGGGAAUUGCGCUCGAUACUGGCGGGCUAGAGGUCGAUAGGGGUGAGCGGAACUCCAGGUGGAGCGGUGAAAUGCGUAGAUAUCUGGAGGAACACCGGUGGCGAAAGCGGCUCACUGGAUCGAAACUGACACUGAGGAGCGAAAGCCAGGGGAGCAAACGGG
rnacentral:rRNA from 1 species